GUGGGGAAUAUUGGACAAUGGGGGGAACCCUGAUCCAGCCAUGCCGCGUGUGUGAAGAAGGCCUUUUGGUUGUAAAGCACUUUAAGCGAGGAGGAGGCUACCGAGAUUAAUACUCUUGGAUAGUGGACGUUACUCGCAGAAUAAGCACCGGCUAACUCUGUGCCAGCAGCCGCGGUAAUACAGAGGGUGCAAGCGUUAAUCGGAUUUACUGGGCGUAAAGCGCGCGUAGGUGGCCAAUUAAGUCAAAUGUGAAAUCCCCGAGCUUAACUUGGGAAUUACAUUCGAUACUGGUUGGCUAGAGUAUGGGAGAGGAUGGUAGAAUUCCAGGUGUAGCGGUGAAAUGCGUAGAGAUCUGGAGGAAUACCGAUGGCGAAGGCAGCCAUCUGGCCUAAUACUGACACUGAGGUGCGAAAGCAUGGGGAGCAAACAGGAUUAGAAACCCGUGUAGUCC
rnacentral:rRNA from 1 species